rnacentral:rRNA from 1 species
AUUGAACGCUGGCGGCAUGCUUUACACAUGCAAGUCGGACGGCAGCACAGAGAAGCUUGCUUCUUGGGUGGCGAGUGGCGAACGGGUGAGUAACAUAUCGGAACGUACCGAGCAGUGGGGGAUAACUAAUCGAAAGAUUAGCUAAUACCGCAUAUAUUCUGAGGAAGAAAGCAGGGGACCAUUUGGCCUUGCGCUGUUUGAGCGGCCGAUAUCUGAUUAGCUAGUUGGUGGGGUAAAGGCCUACCAAGGCGACGAUCAGUAGCGGGUCUGAGAGGAUGAUCCGCCACACUGGGACUGAGACACGGCCCAG